rnacentral:misc_RNA from 4 species
AGGUUUUUGAAGCCUGCAUCAAUGCCAUUCAGGCAUCGCUAAAUCACAAAAAAACGGGGCGAAUCCAUCGCCCCGUUUUCUUGUC